CCUAAAUCCCGCAAAGACGGUCUCCUCUCCAAAAGAGGGGAGCUAAGAGGGAAUGCGGUGCGGGAUCUUGCGAUCUCAAAUCCGCGGCUGUCCCCGCAACUGUAAGCGAUGAGCCGAGCCGAACACCACUGGGCAAUGCCCGGGAAGGCGGCAGCAAGGCAACGACCCGCGAGCCAGGAGACCUGCCGUCUGCAUGUAAGAAUC
rnacentral:ncRNA from 2 species